GAUGAACGCCAGCGGCAGGCUUAAUACAUGCAAGUCGAGGGGCAGCAUGAUUGUAGCAAUACAAUUGAUGGCGACCGGCAAACGGGUGCGGAACACGUACACAACCUUCCAACAAGUGGGGGAUAGCCCAGAGAAAUUUGGAUUAAUACCCCGUAACAUAGCGAUGUGGCAUCACAUUGCUAUUAUAGAUUUUUCGCUUGUUGAUGGGUGUGCGGCUGAUUAGAUAGUUGGCGGGGUAACGGCCCACCAAGUCUACGAUCAGUAGCUGAUGUGAGAGCAUGAUCAGCCACACGGGCAAUGGGCCGCGGGCCCGACUCCUACGGGAGGCAGCAGUAAGGAAUAUUGGACAAUGGACGCAAGUCUGAUCCAGCCAUGCCGCGUGAAGGAUUAAGGUCCUCUGGAUUGUAAACUUCUUUUAUAAGGGACGAAAAAAGGCUUUUCUAAGUCGUCUGACGGUACCUUAUGAAUAAGCACCGGCUAACUCCGUGCCAGCCGCCGCCGUAAUAC
rnacentral:rRNA from 1 species